rnacentral:misc_RNA from 1 species
AACACUGUUAACCUGCGGUACCUGCGGAAGGAUCAUUAACGCGCCGUGGAGGUUUGCCCUGAACGGGCAUGGCCUUCCACUUGGCCACCCUUGUUUACCUUUAACCUGUUGCCUUGGUGGGCCCGCCGUUAAGGCCGCCGGGGAAUUUAAAAGUUCUCGGGCCAGUGCCCACCAAAGUCCUAAUGAACUCUGGGUUAUGUUUUGUUGUCUGAGCGUUAAAAGAAUAUUUUAAAACUUUCA